AGAAUCAAGAAAAAAAUCUGCAGGCAACUAAAGCAUUUAUAUAUGAUAACUGAUUUAAAUCCAUAAUUUUCUGUCUUUUUUGCUUCAAAUUACCUCCCUUUGGUAUAGCUCUCUAACAUAGGAGGAAUAAACGGUAGUUUGCUUACAUUGUUUUCAAUAACAAUGUACAGAAGACUAGAAGAAAAUUACAAACUUUGAGCAGUCUGAGCCUCAGUUUUGGCGUUUUCAUGAGUCUUAAUUACGAAUGAAAUUCGCCACUUUGAAGCCAAACUCGGAAAGAAGCAGAAACAGAAUUGGAUGAGCUGAUAUAGAAUUAGACAGGAAAAACGUAUUAUCAUUAUGAGAAUACAUUAUUACAGUACAGACCAUUGAUGCUGGAAGUGAGUAGAUAGUGUUACCGGAGACUCAGGGAUCCAGAAAAUAGAUCCAUAAAUUGUACAAUGUAUUCAUGAAAGUGGAUCAAAUAAAAAUGUUCAAUCCAAAAGCAACAUUCUUUGUUUGUCUGUUAGCAUUUUUUUUAUUGAUGUAAAUCUAACAAGCUAAUUCAGAGAAU